rnacentral:lncRNA from 1 species
UUAGUAAACCCCACCCCAAACCGGGUUAGUGGGGUUUACUAACCCCACUCCCUCUCCCAACUUUAACCAACCCCAUUCCCCCUCCCAACUUUAACCCCGCACGCAUCCCGAGCCCUCAUCUUUUUCUUCUUUAUCAAUCAUUAACCCCAUUCCCCCUCCCAACUUUAACCCCGCACGCAUCCCGAGCCCUCACCUUUUUCUUCUUUAUCAAUCAUUAUCUUCUUAUCCCACCUACUCCAACCAAACAUUUUUUUUCACUAUCCUAAACUAACUCCAACCUCCAACUAAACACAAAAAAAUUUUAACACCAUUUUAAUUCUGAACUUAACCCUAUCUCUGGAAUAGCUACUUUUUCUUAACCCCGAACCAAACGGUGACUUUAAUGUUUUUAA